GGGGACUCCCGGACAGUUCACGAACUCGCGACUUUGGUCAAGUCGCAUUCCCCCACUCUCGUCUUUUUGUGUGAGACGAGACAGUUUGCUAGCAAGAUGAAGAGGUAUCGCUCAAGAUUGAGCCUGAAGGGCUUUGUUGGUGUUGAUUCUAGUGGUAAUAGUGGAGGUUUGGCACUGUUUUGGCACGAGGGUCUGAAGGUGGAGGUUAAAUUCUCAAAUGCCCGUUGUAUGGAUGUUCAUGUACAAACUGGGCCGGAUGAACAACCGUGGAGACUGACUUGUGUGUAUGGUGAACGGAGGGUGGAGGAUCGGCCUCUUAUGUGGUCUCUGAUGCAGAACCUUUGUGCCAAUUCAGAUUUACCAUGGAUGGUGGUGGGUGACUUCAACGAAUGUAUGUGGGAUUUAGAGCAUUUUUCCCUAAACACGAGAGCACCAGUUCAGACGCAAUUAUUCCAGGAUGUCCUGGAGACGUGCGACUUGGCUGAUCUGGGUUUUACUGGUGUCCCUUACACAUACGAUAAUAAGAGAAGUGGGAAUGCAAACAUGAAAGUUCAUCUGGAUAGGGCGGUUGUGAAUCCGCCUUGGAGGAAUAUUUUUUUCAACACCUUGGUACACCACCUUGCUUCCCCCUGUUCAGAUCAUGUGCCUGUUCAUGUGUGUUGUGAUGAUGUGGGUGAUUAG
rnacentral:rRNA from 1 species